AAGUCGUAACAAGGUUUCCGUAGGUGAACCUGCGGAAGGAUCAUUAACACGCAUGUAAAAGCAUCCAAUAUCAAAAAUCACAACCAAACGGUCAACUAUCUCCUCCCUAUUUCGCACACCGGAGACGGUACGAGUAGGCUAACAUGUAAAUAACAUAACAUUUGUUAUGAAACAAACACAAGAUAACCCCUUUUAAUUAUAUUAUUCAUUAUAAUAUAAUAUAAAACAACUCUUCGAUUUGCUUCUCUUGAGAAGAAAAACGAACUAAACUAAAAUAUACAUUCGAUAUAUUUUUAUUUUACGAAAUAAUAUAUAUUUAUAAUAACAACUCUUAGCAAUGGAUAUCUUGGUUCUC
rnacentral:misc_RNA from 1 species